UGCAAGUCGACUGGAAUUCACCUUCGGGUGAUAGUACGGUGGCGGACGGGUGAGUAACGCGUAAAGAACUUGCCCUCUAGACUGGGACAACUGUUGGAAACGACAGCUAGGAUAUUAUGAGAUUCUCGCAUGGGAAACUUAUGAAAGGCUAUAUGCGCUAGAGGAGAGCUUUGCGUGCCAUUAGGUAGUUGGUAGGGUAAUGGCCUACCAAGCCGACGAUGGCUAGCCGGCCUGAGAGGGUGAUCGGCCACAAGGGGACUGAGACACGGCCCUUACUCCUACGGAGCAGCAGUGGGGAAUAUUGGACAUGGAC
rnacentral:rRNA from 1 species